UGUGGGCGCUUCCUGUGACAAAUCUAGCUGGCCAAAUGUUCAAUCUGACUAGUUGUCUAAUUCAGCGGCUUCCCAAGUUCACACAGCCCAGGCUGCAUUCAUGGAGAUACAGUAUCUAGAACAAAGGCCCUAAGAGUCUCCUGUCAGCCCACAGAAAAGGAACAUUGGCAGAUGAGUGUCCCUAGAAGACAGUGACCUGACCCUGAAGAGUUCUGUGGACACACAGUUAAAAGAGGAGAGAAGUUUGGCCCCACGACGAGAAGGCAGACUGGGAGUGCCGAGAUGUAUAAACUGUCUUCACAGCAAUUCCAUGAGGCAGCUUCGAAAAUGGAGAGCACAAUAAAGCCCCGGCGGGCAGAACCUGUGUGCUCAGGGCUGCAGGCCCAGAUCCUCCAGUGCUACCGCCAGAACCUGCAGGAGGUGCUCCUGUGCUCUGACCUGGUCAAGGCCUACCAGCGCUGCGUCAGCGCCGCCCACAAGGGGUGAGGAGCAGCUGUCCUUCCUGGCCUGGCAGUGACUGAGCCCUGAAGAAGAGACUGAAUAUGGGACCACAGACCCUGGGGCCACAGCCAUCACCCCUAGCCAUGUCUGUGGGCUUAAGAACAGAUGUGAGCUACUGUCUGAAACAAAUAAAGCAGACAUCUCUGUGUUCAGUCAUUCCCUCAGCUGGCAGCAAUGACCAACGCCUGCUUG